rnacentral:rRNA from 1 species
UCGGUUGAUAUUCCGAUACCACCUAUUUACGUUUGAGAAAUGGGGUGACGCAGUAGGAUAAGAUGUGCGCACUAUUGGAUGUGCGUCUAAGCACUUAGGCAUGCUUGAUAGGCAAAUCCGUCGAGCUAAGCUGAGGUGUGAUGGGGAGCCAUUUAUGGCGAAGUAUCUGAUUCCACACUGCCAAGAAAAGCCUCUAUCGAGUGAAUAGGUGCCCGUACCCCAAACCGACACAGGUAGGUGAGGAGAGAAUCCUAAG